UGACAUUACAUGUCAUUUAGCUGACGCUUUUAUCCAAAGCGACUUACAAUAAGUGCAUUUCCACAUAAAGAUGCAAACUCAGAAGAACAAGUAACAAGAAAGUACAAUUUUCAUCAAAUAAGCAGUUUCAAAACAUGUUAUAGAAAAGUGCCAUUAUAAGUACAGUUUAAGUGCUACCAUUUGUUAGUGCUACAGUUUGCUAGUGUUUUAGUCAAGGUAGAGUCUAAAUGGAUCCAUGUGUGUCUGUGCACAGUGUGCGUGAGAUUUUCAAAAAGGCUCCUUUCCCACCGGCAGAAAUGAUUCAAAUGUUGCAAGUAUUGAAAAACACGAUACACUGGGACAUAAGUGUUUCCUACUGAAAUUUCUUUUGCGCUUCUGAUUGGACAACACAAACUUCUCUGAAGUGUAUUAAAGCUCCUUUUCUCCCCAAGAAGUUUGGUCCAAUCUUCCUACUCCUCUGAGUGACACUUAUCUCAGUCUCCUCACAGAAUUUUAGGCUUUUACAGAUGCAGGUCAACAUUUAAUUAUUCAUUAUUGAAGAAAUAUUUUUUUGAUUGUUUUUGAUGUCAUUGUUCUAAGACUUAUAUGUGAAAUGUGAUGUAUAGAUAGAUUUCAAUUAUUUUUUUGGAUGUGAGACACCUCUUCCUUUCCUCUCUCUCGAUAUGGGGCAUCAUUUGGACAUCACUUGGCCUGCCGAGGUCACACACGCGACUAAAAGUACGUCACUUUUGAUGAAAGAUAAACCACAUGUAAUGUAAUAUAAUGGAUUAAACCACGUGUGUGUAAUGAUUUAAUCUACGGCUUACUGGGUGCGUUUGAUGAAAUCAUCUAAAUGGUGAUACUGCAAAACAAGAUCAUCUUUGUUUGUGAAGAAGCUCAGCCUGUAAGAUCAUAAAUCAAUUAUUGCCAUUAUAAAUCAUUUUUUGUGUAGCCAGUGAGGAAAUGUCCCUCCUGAGCUACUAUAGAUUCAGGUCAGCCUUGGCACCUCCUACUUCCUGGUUCACCAAUUAGACAGGCUGUAAAAGCUUCACGUAAUGAAGCUGUGUCAGCAUGCUUGUCCCUUUCGCUGUUGCACUCUGGCUUGAGAAUUCCGAGAGCAGCUCGUCAGGGCCCAGGUGCAGGAGGCUCAAAGUCCAGGCUGCGAUUGUGAAGUAGAUGGCCCCAAAAAUGGAAACGGCAAUGCAAAAUGGAUUUUAAAAAAGCAAGGCGAACCCCUGACUGCGAUACACGGACCAAGAUUUUUGCUAUUCCCUUCUUUAAAUUUCAAUUCAAUUACUGAACUUCAGGAUUUGGGGAAUAUUAAGAUGCCAACCAGGUGUAACAUGUUUGACCUUCCUUUUGUGGAGUCACCCUGUUAGGAACCACCUGCGAUUGCUGAUUAUGGGUGGUCGACCUCAAAUGACGGAACCAUCAAGGUUAAAGGAAGCUUAUGGAUCUUGGGUAGCAGAUGGGCGAGGCUUGGGCUCUUCAUCCAGGGUGGUCAAGAGAACAUAACGGGCUCCCUGAAGUCAAGCUAAUUCUGCCUCCUGUGAGAAGUGUCGAAAUUACCUCUGCCCUCCAGCUGACUUGGGGUUUUGGUGAGGUUAGUAUCUUUUCCUCAGUACUGUUUUGUAACACUUGUUGGGCAGGCUGUUUGAUGGCUCUAAUAACAUGUGCCUCUAACUGACUCCUCAGUACUGCCUUUGUUAUGCUUUCAGGCAAAGUACUGUUGUGUUCUCUGGAUGGUCCUACAUCAACCUAAACGGCUCGUGCUUCAGGGCCUCCAAGAAGUGGUCCAGCAGCUUCAGCCUCCUGUGGACUGAGCCGUUUGAGCAAAAGUUAAGACUUUUUUUUUUUUCCCCCAGUCUUUUUGUCAUUAAAGUUGUGGCACAACUUUGAUUCUAUUGUAUGGCCCAAAGAACUAUUUUGGCUCUUUGCACUGUAACAUGAAAUAGUAAAUGGCAAAAAAUUGGUACACUAAAGUCAUUUCUGCUGAAUUUGUUGCCCAUACUGAAUGAAAAUUAGUAAAGAACUUUCUGCUGCGCAAAUUUAUGAAGCUAAUCAUUUCAAGAAACUUUUACUUGCAACGAUGAGGGAGGAGAAACUUCCCGAAGAUACUCCGCUGCACGUAUGCGCAUUUUACCGCCGCAGACGUGAUUUCCGUUGAGGCGGAUGCUAGAAGUGUGAAGAAAGCGCUGCUCAGUCCAGAAGGUAAGUUUCAGCUACCCUUGCACGAUAAAAUGUUAGUUGAUUUAGCAAACUUACUCUGCAAUUUGCCAGUCUUAACUGUUUGCGGUGAACUUGUUUUUAAAGUCUAGCUUGAAUGUUAACGGCUAGACUGUCACACAUGGAAUCCUCUAAAAUAACAUUAAAUAUAAAUUGCCUUUCAGCAAACUGCAUGCUUAAUAGCAGGUUCAAUGAUAUUUGUCAAUCUUCCAGCUAACGCUUGAAUUCGGUAUAAAUGGUUUUUAUUUUUGUCUAUGGUAGUGUAACGCAUGAUUUUGAAAGGAGCAACCUCAUCAGGAAAUAUUCCCAGUUAUCAGUUUAGCAAUUUAGUAACCUU